CUGCAGUCCAAGAGGUCGCAAAGAGUCGGACACGACUGAGCAACUGAACUGAACUGAAAUGUGCAAUAGCCAUACCGACAGGCCCCUGAUCUAUUUACUUCAUCCAUCCUUUUUUCGCUCCAAGCCAGCAAUAUAGCAAGCACAGAACCAAGGGAAAGUAUCCACCUAUAAGCGGUGUCUCUGACAGACAAAACAUCAUUCCUGCCUUGCGUUCCUGUUGAACAGACUUCAACUCCCAGCGUGCCGUGAACACCACGCCCUCUCCUCGAACGCGGGAACUACAAGAUCCAGGAUGCACUCUGCCGUUUAUUUCUCACUCUCCCCGAAACACCCGCAGACCCCAAAAGCGGUUUCUGAAGACUGACUAAAUCCUUUAGAUUAAUGUAGACCUUUCUACCGAGCUCCACUUUGAAUUGAAACAGAACAGUCUGCGAAGGCUUUUUAUGAAAUGGAAAUUUUUAUCCUCUUUCAUAAGGUGUGUUGAGAGAAAUACUAAAUUAUUGCGAAGUGUAAUGCUGUAAGAUUUUGCUGGAACAAGGGCUACGAGACAUGCUUCUGAAUUGCGUAGGGAAUUACAGUAAGAGCUAGAAGUGAAAAAUUAACAGUCUGUACUAGCGGACUAUGAAACCACAUGGGAAAGAAAAUCUUUCAGAAUGCAGAGUUGAAAAGUUCAAAAUUAGAUUUGAAACGUUUUCAUUUUUUUAUGUGUUUAAUGGUUUGAAUUAUUUUUAUUAUUAUUCUCACAAAAACAGGUAACUGCACAACUAUUUAUUUUCUGUUAUGCAGUAGGGCAACCAAAUAACCAAUCACACAAAGAAUAUAGUAAGAUGUAACAUUUAUUAGAGUGAGCGAACAAAAGAACUGUUUUCUUGUCUGAUUAGACAGCUGGUGGAUCCACAUUUUAAAAUACAGAACUUUGUUUUGAUUUUUUAGGACAGAUAAUAUACAUUUAACAAGCUUUCUGGAUGAUUUUUUGUUACUUUCAUAAAGUCUUAGAUUACAAGAGCAAAUAAAUUUUAUUUUUAAUAUACAAUAACAGGAUGUGAGAAACAAUGCUUUGAUUCUUUCAUUAAACUACAUGGUAAUUAUACAAAAUAAAACUGUGUAUA
ensembl:lncRNA